rnacentral:lncRNA from 1 species
UAGAUGAUUGCUCCACAUCCAGCACCUAACACCAGUACUCAGUUAAAUUUUUUGCUGAAUAAAUCAAUGAAUGGAGAGGUAAAGAGGAACCAGAAGUUGGGGUUACAGAAGUCACUGAUGGAAGAGUUUCAAGAUAGUAGAAGUGGUCAGCCCUGUUAAGUGACAAGCCAAGGACUGAAGAAAGACUGGCAGAUUUGGCAAUCAGAUGAAGUGACCUGACCAAAGAGCAGCUUGUGUGAAGUAGUGAGGACAGGCGCUGGUCUGCGACUGGUUUAGGAGGAAAUGGAAAUGAGGAAGAAGAGAUAGAGUCUCGCUCAGUUUCCAGGCUGGAGUGUAAUGGCGUGAUCUUGGCUCACUGCAACCUCUGCCUCCCAGCUUCAAGUGAUUCCCCUGCUUUAGCCUCCCAAGCAGCUGGGACUACAGGCAUGCACCAGCAUGGCCGGCUAAUUUUUUUUUAUAUUUUAGUACAGAUGGGGUUUAACCAUGUUGGCCAGGAUGAUCUUGAUCUCCUGACCUCGUGAUCUGCCCACCUCAGCCUCCCAAAGUGCUAGGAUUACAGGCGUGAGCCACCUUGCCCGGCCUUCUAUUCCUUUUUCUAAUGCAUUUGCCCCAGCUAUCUGUAUAGCCUGCAAUCUGGUAGAUGGACCACAGG